UUUUUUUUUUUUUGUCCAACUGGACACAGUUCUAUGACCUGUUCUGACUGUGCUCUGAGAGGUUCUGGGACUGCAGGAUUGCCAAAGAUGCCUUCCUAAGUCAGCUUUUCCAUGUGUCUGAAUUAUCACCAGGAAGAAGGUACAGAACUGCAAGUGUCUGAGCUCUGUGUUUAUCACAGGUAUCACCUGCACCCACCUGAUUAGCCAAAAAUUAUAAAAAGUAAGAGAAGUAUGGGAGAAAUGUUCCCAAAAUUGCCAUUUGCUUUCUGCUCUGAUGGAGUUCAGUGUUAUUUUAAUGUCACAAAAAAAUAAUGGGUGGAAUAUGAUGAAUGAGGUGCCUGUUUCAAUGAGCUUACACGCCCAGAAACAGAUGCCGUCCGUGCAUUUCUUAAAUAUAAUUUCAAAGAAUUGUAUUGCUCUUCCUCAGAAUUUACAAUUAAGUAAGUGCAACAAAAGUAGAUAAAUCAAAAAUGCAGUGAUUGGGACAUAACAUGACAUUUACUUUUUACGUUUCAGGCCUGACUGUUAUGUUUUUAUUCCAUCCUCUUUGGUCAUAUUAGAAUGUUUAAGGUAAUUUUAAUCUUGGCUGCAGCUUCCUGAUUAUUCCCCUCUAGUUCUUUUUUAUCCCCACCUUUUCCAAAGCCCAUUGAAACCUCUUACUGCAGCCUUUGCCUCAUGUCUUUCCAAAUUUUCUUGGCUGGUGUGUUGCCUCCAAGAGAAAAGGAAAAUUCAUGGUUCAGGGAAAAUUGAAUUGUUAUAUAUACUGGUGAAUUACUUGUCCCAGAAUUACUUCAAUAAAUAGCAGUGAUUUAUUUAUUUUUAGAAGAAAAAUUAUCUCUUGUUUUGUUUCAGUCAUAUGAAAACAAAAGGAAAGAUAAAAUAGAAAGAGAAAGCAGUACAUCUUUUUGCUGAUAAUGCAUUUGAUGGAUGUCUCUCUGAGGACCUGAUUGAACUCAGUGUUAUACCCCCCAAAUGAAGAUAAAUCAUUGGUGAAGGGUUUGUGGAGUACAUGCCCGAAAUCAAUUAUGCUCACAUGGAGAUCUAUUAAUCUAUUUCUUCCUGUUCAGUCUACCCAGCCUCUUUUAAAUGGCUUUUUAUCAUUCCAAACACAGGUUACCUUUUUUAAGUGAUGGUACAGUUCUGGUGGUUUGCACUAAAAUCAGAAUUGAGCCUCAUAUGUGAGGAGCCCUUUCACCCCUUCCCUGUGCUCAGCCCAAUUACCUUAACUCAGUUUAAAACAUUUCUCCCAAAAAAAUAUUUGAGUCAAAGGGACACUGACCCUUGCUACAGAGGCUUGGUGGGGUUUGUCACCUUUCCUUGUUGAUAACACAGCAGUCUGGCAAAGAAUAAUGUAUGAAAAAACAGUCAUGUACAGUUGGAAACACUGAGAUAAAAAAGAGAUAUCCAGGAAAUUCUCUCUCCUGCAUGGCAUAUCAGGGAAAUCCAGUGGGGUUCAGAGUCAGAAUGUAUCAGAUGCUCUCUCCAUUCCCAGGGAAAGACAAUCUGAUCACAGUCCAUGCCUCUCAUCAAGGAAGAUGAAGGGGGCAGAGCAAGCAUUGAAGGGAAGCUAAAUAACAGGUGGCAAUUUAAAAUUUUAAGAUUUUAUCAGUUUUUAAAUUGUGACUCACCUUGUGUUUCUCAACCAGAACCAUGGUAAGCAGCUAACUCCAGUCUACUGCUUUCCAUCUAAUAUUUUAUCAUAUUAACAGUGUAAAAGGCUGUUGAUCAGGCAGGCAAAGCAUUCUGAAUGAAUCCCAAGUCCUAGCCCAGUUAAUUUUCAUUCUGUCAGUGAAUGUCUGGCAUUAGAAUGACCCACUAGUUCUGUCUCCAGACUGAAAUAUUGGCAGCUAACAUAAAGAAAUCCUGUCAGUGAAUUCCAGCAGAGGAUGGAAGCACUGGUUGGAUUUGAUGAUCCUAAGCCUAUUUCAGCCUAAAUUAUUCUAAAUCUGUGAAAUAAGUGGUGUCCACACACUGGUUUUAUGAGGCUAAAAGCAUUGCCAUCAUUUGGUGUAGGGAACAGUAGCACUCUGAUGGCACAAAAAGCAGUGCCUUGGGUGAUUUUUGUGGCUGUACUUGUAAGUUCAAGGAGCUGUGCACUAAAGCCUCUAAAUCCCACAUGAACAUAUUGCCUGGGAGAAUUCCCUGAAAGACAGGAGCAUUCAGGCGUCUUUGCACUCAAGAUUCCAUGUUUUGCACUUAAGAUUCCAUGUUUUGCUCCAGGGCUGGAUUUCCAACUUGUAGCUGGCAUAACAGCUCUUCAGGGACAAAAUUCUCUGUCUUUAGAAACAAUGUCUAUGUUAAGCAGCCCCAAGGAAGGAGAAAAAUCACCUUAAUUUUAGAAGAUGUUGCUUUACAGCUCUGCAGGUGGGCUUCAUUCAGACAUGCUCACAGACCUCUUUCUGAGACUUCUGGGGCUGUCCAAUAAAGUGUUUGAAAUGCUAUUCUUUCUUGCAGUAGCUCUCUAGAGAAUAUAAAAAUCAGCUAAGAAGAAGCACAUAGAGAGUGCAUCCAACCCUGUGGCACUCCAGACCUGUGGUUCUUAGGAAUUCUGCUGACAUGUACAGUGUAGUUGCAUUUGUAAAAUACGCCUGUAAAAUGCAACUACAGAUGCCACUCCACUGCAGAACUGAAUAAACAUCCGGUCAUAGGCCCUUACCAAUUAUCUCAGCCCUGGGCUUCAGUGCAGAGUUCCUGUCAAUAAAGCCUCAUAAACAAAUGCAAUACUUGGAGUGUUUAAAAACACUGCAUCAGUUACGUGGCUGUGAAUUUCAUUGACUUUUUAAGCAGAAUUGGACUUUUGCUGGUAAUUCAUUCAAAGCAAGUAGCCAGUGUAUAAAUCCUUAGUUCUGUGGUAAAGCCCAUUCAUGCAAAAUUAAACUGGAUAAAAUCUAGAAGCCUGUGGGUGUUUUGGGUGAAUUUACAGCUUUUAUACUCAGCCUUUCUUCUGAUGGAAUUAAUAAAUGUUUGGGAUUGUUGCAGCUGCAGUCAACUCCUGUAACAUAUUGAUUAGGAGUAUAUUGACAAAAAUUGGUCUCUGUUACCAAGAAACAACACAGUGAUUGAUAGGUUACAAAAGUUAUAUAAUGUGUGCAGACAUGUUUGGAGAAGUGACACAUCCUACACAGUCAAUAAUGAUGGAAUUUGGAGCCGAAUUCUCCAGCUCAGCCUUGAUUACUUCACAGAAACUGAUCCUAGGCUUUUAGGUAAGGAAUGAGUUCUUUUCAUUCUGUUGUUGUUAUUACUGUUAUUAUUAUCAUUAUUAUUAUUAUUGUUGCUAUUAUUAUUAGUUGAGUUUAUUUUCUAGCCCAUACCCAUCAGGGCUACAAAAGUGAUUUUCUCAGAUUGUACCAUCAAGACUUUCUGAUUCCAGGCAAAUCCAGUUUGGCAAAGCAAGCACUGAAGCUGCUGCCAGCUCUCUAAUCUGGUUCAAGUCAAAAUCAUGUUCAGCAUCACUUCAGUAUGACAUGAGAAGGAAAUCUGUUUUAAAUAUAGGGAGAUGACUUCAGAAUACAUUCCAUGAGCUUUAUUUAGUGUCAGGAUUCUUUGUUUUCCAAGGCAGUUGACACAGGAAAGGGAUAUUAGAGAGGCUAUUUUCACGCCUCUUUCAAUCUGUCAGAUAAAACCACACAGGUGGUUGUUGUUGUUAGACUUCUAGUUUGUUUCCUCAAUUUUUGGAUGCCAUUCUGAUAAAAAAGACCCUCUUUACAAAUGUGAGAAUUGAGCCCAACUAUCAAACUUGUCCAGGUCCGCUUUUUUUAAAUUUUUUUUUACUUAGUGUAGGAAGGAAGAAAAAGGCAGAACCAACAGAAAGGUGUUGGAGCUAAUGAGAGAAGGAGAAUAAAAGGAACACCUUUUCUUAGCUGAAACCUGGCUUCAGAGAAGCAUUUACUUUCUUAGCACUGCUUAGGUCUGAAAAGAUCUAUUAAUAGUAAAUUCUGGGCCAGGAAAAUGAUUUUUUUAAACUCAUUUGGCUUUUGAGGCCUAUUUUUCAUUUUCCUUUUGUUCUGUGCAAAUACAUAUUUCCAGACCUCUGUAUGGAAGUUUCUCAUGUUCCCUAUACCAUCCCCCUUUACAGUAAGUCACUGAGUGGACUUUUCCCCAAGACAGAAUUAUAAAUGCUGCAAUACAGCCUUCAGUAAUGACACUUGGUAUCACAUUUCCAGAACCCUUACCAUUUUUGCUUUCACUGAGCUAUUUUUUCACAUGGGUUUUCCCCCAAAUCGCUGCAAAUGCGGCAACCACAAGAUUCCACAUGAAUGAGGGCAGAGAAAACCAGUCCAAGGCGGCUCAGUGAAGGCUUUAAAGUGAUGCUUCAUUCUUCUGAGCCCUACUGAAGGACUGAAAAUACUGUCACUGAUUUAAGGAGAAUAGAUCAAGGUCUAAGGAUGGUCAGUGAAGCAUUUUCAAAGUAAGGAUGGGAAAUAUUAUCUGUACACUGAAAGGGCCUGGUAUAUUGAAGGAUAAAAGGGAAACUGCCAUGCAGACAGUGGGUUUGCAGCAAGAGAAACCACCAAAGCUGGCAGUCUUAAUAACAUAAAAUGCAGUGAACACAGCCCUCACACAUACAUACACCUGGCCAACUCAUGGCACGUGGCAUUGGCUACAUGUGAAUUUAAUAAACCUACACUUAGUUGUCUCAUCUUACAAGAUCACAGUUCUCAGACAUGGCAGUUGCUUCCUCUUAUUCUUUGCAGGAGUAUUUAAAUGGCUGAUCAGCCCUAGUGUAUGGCCAAGAGGACAGAGGGGCCUUUGGGGUAUCUCCUCUUUCAGGACUCACUGAUUUCACAGGUCCCUCCAUCAGCCUGUGGUUCACUUACAGACAAGAGGGUUUGUCCUCCAUUUGCUGAACUCAGUUUUCUGGGCUGAUGUGAAAGAUAAGUAACACUUGAAAAACCUCUAUUGUGUCAAAGGGAUGCAGCACUGGAUAGGUUUUUAGAGCUAAUUUUAAUAAAAGUGAAAAAAACUGCGGAGUAAGAACAGGUGAACAAAAUCAAAGGGCUGAUUGCAGCAUGUGCACGCAGUCAAAUAACUCCCCUCAGCGUUCCUGGGGCUCCAGCACAGUGAGGGGACACCACCUGCAGCUGGCUCUGUUCCCCAGCUGGGUGACAUUUCCUGUCUGGCAGCUCUCCUGCUCCCCUUGUAGGGUGUGGGAUCCCUCGUGGCUGUGGGGUGUUCCUGGUGUGGGAUCCCUCGUGGCUGUGGGAUGUUGCUGCCCCUGGAUCCCUCAUGGCUGAGGACAGCAGCCAUAUCUCUGUGAGGGCAGGAGCCAGUUCUGCCACUGCAAAGCAGCCCAGAGAGACUGAUUCCUGAGUCCAACGAUCCUGCACUGACAGCACCACUGAUAAACCCCGGGAAGAGGCAGGAUGAGCCGUUGGAAGCGCUCCCUCCCCGGCCACUGAAGGGCUGCCUCCCAGAAGAUGGAGCUAUUUCCCUGAUACAGCUGAUGGAGACCUUGCUCCCAAAGUUCAUAUUCUGAACUGGAGGGAUCCUGGCAAAGUGGUUCCUGUGGUGCUCCGUGGCGUGGCAGAGCCAGGGCUGUCACCCCCACGUGCAGACAUUACCAGCCUGCACCAGCCUCUGGGCUUUCAGCUGGAGUGAAGAAACUGGACAGGAAUGCCAGACCUCAUGCAAAUCAUGUUAGGGUGUUCUGGAGCAGCACUGGUGCCUCUGCCCCGACACUGCAGCUGCCAGGGGGUUGUCCCUCACUGCCCCUCACUGUUCCUGCUCCAUCCGGAGCGUUUCCACCUGUGCUGAGCAGGACGUGGUGCUGUCAGGGAGACAAGAAUCCUGACCAGCUCCCUGUGCCAUGGUUCCCACCUGAAAGCUCCUGAGAGACCAGUUCUUUCUGGGAAUAUCCACAUGGACACAUCCAGUGUGAAGAAAAAAGCAUAGUCUGGCUCCUCAGGUUGGGGAGAGGCUGGUUCACAAGUAACCAUGGCAACCAGGCUGUCACUGGGAGCAUCAAGACAUUUUCAUACCAAAAAUAAAAAAGCCCAAA
ensembl:lncRNA